GCGGACGUGGCGGAAUUGGCAGACGCGCUAGGUUGAGGGCCUAGUGGGAGAUAAUCCCGUGGAAGUUCGAAUCUUCUCGUCCGCA
rnacentral:tRNA from 1 species